rnacentral:rRNA from 1 species
CCUACGGGAGGCAGCAGUGGGGAAUAUUGGGCAAUGGAGGAAACUCUGACCCAGCGACGCCGCGUGCGGGAUGAAGGCCUUCGGGUUGUAAACCGCUUUCAGUAGGGAAGAAGCGAAAGUGACGGUACCUACAGAAGAAGCACCGGCUAACUAUGUGCCAGCAGCCGCGGUAAUACAUAGGGUGCAAGCGUUGUCCGGAAUUAUUGGGCGUAAAGAGCUCGUAGGUGGUUCGUCACGUCGGAUGUGAAAAUCUGGGGCUCAACCCCAGACCUGCAUUCGAUACGGGCGAUCUAGAGUGUGGUAGGGGAGACUGGAAUUCCUGGUGUAGCGGUGGAAUGCGCAGAUAUCAGGAGGAACACCAAUGGCGAAGGCAGGUCUCUGGGCCAUUACUGACACUGAGGAGCGAAAGCGUGGGGAGCGAACAGGAUUAGAUACCCUGGUAGUCCACGCCGUAAACGGUGGGCACUAGUUGUGGGAACCUUCCACGGUUUCUGCGACGCAGCUACGCAUAAGUAGCCCGCCGUCGGGAGGUACGAAGUCGCGAAGAAGUUAAACGUAACGUAAAGGUAAAGUUAGUUACGGCGUGAGACGUGCCGACGGACGACGACGAGGGAGGAGG